GGACCCGUCGUAUAACGGCUAGUACCCCUGGUUUUGGUCCAGGUAGUUGAGGUUCAAUUCCUUGCGGGUCUG
rnacentral:tRNA from 1 species